AUGGGUACUGGUAUGGGUACUGGUAUGAGUACUGGUAUGGGUACUGGUAUGGGUACUGGUAUGGAUACUGGUAUGGGUACUGGUAUGGGUUCCGGUAAGGGUUCCGAUAUGGAUACCGGUAUAGAUAUAGGUAUGGAGGAUAAAGAACAUAUUAAUAAGAAUCACUCAGAUGAGGAUAAUAUACUUGAUGACGCUAACCAAAUGAGGAAAGUUAUUACAAAAGAAAUGGAAAUACAUGAAAAAAGAAUGGAUAAGGAAGAAAUAAGUAAAGAAAAUAUAAAAAAAGAAUUAGUUGACUUAACCAAACAAAAAUUAACAAACGAAAUGGGAGAAUCUUGUGUACAAGCACAAUUACAAAAUAAUGAACAUUCAGUAUUGAAUGAAUCAAAAAACAACAACAAAGUAACAGUGAGUGGUGAUAGUGGUAAUAUUGGUAACAGUGGUGAUAAUAGUGGUAAUAUUGGUAACAGUGGUAAUAUUGGUAACAGUGGUAAUAUUGGUAAUAUUGGUGAUAAUAGUGGUAACAGUGGCGAUAAUAGUGAUAAUUCCAAAUUAAACGAAAUAAGAAAAUUAGAAGAGUUAUAUCAAAGAGCAAACUUUGAUUAUAAAACAACCGAAAGGCGUUUUAAUAAUCUAAUAGAUUUAACACAAAAAUUAACAAAUGAAUAUAAAAAUGUAUAUUUUUUAACAAAAGGCGAAUUUGAAACAUUAUGUAAAAACUUAGAAGAAUAUAAAGAAAAUAUAGAAAUACAAUGGCAAAUAAAAUGGAUAGGUGGAGUAGAUAAUAAUAUAUAUGGGCCAUAUAAGUAUUGUGAUAUAUAUAAUUUAAUAGCAAUUGGUGCUGUAUCAGCACUUAAUCCUAUACUUUUAAGAAGGAUAAGCAAUGAAAAUAAAAUUUUAGAAAAUGUUUGGCAAAUGUAUGAUGCAGUUAAUUAUUUAACUUUUGUUACUAACGAAAAUGUAAAAAAAAAAAGAAAAUUAAAUAAAACUGAUAUAAUAAAUGAUAACAAUGAUUUAGAAGAAAAUGGAAAUGAAAAUGAACAAUCAGAUGGCUUUUUGGAAGAUGAAUAUUGUUUAUUUAAAAAAAAAAAAAAAAAAAAAGGAUUAAUUCAAAUAUCUUCAAAAAAAAAUGAAAAAACUGGAAUUUCUAAUGCUGGUCAUAAUACUAGUGGAACUGUUGAGGGAGAUGAACAAAAUGAAAAUAAUAGCAACGACGAUUCAGAUGAUGACUAUGAUGAUCAUUAUUAACUCAUCCUGGCUUGUGACAUACAUGUGAAUAUAUACAUAUAUACAUAUAUAUAUAUAUAUAUGAUCACAUAUAUUUUUUUUUUAAAACUUAAUUUUUUUAUAUAGUCAUUGAUUUAUUUCUUAUUAU
rnacentral:lncRNA from 1 species